rnacentral:rRNA from 1 species
GCCUACGGGGCGCAGCAGUGAGGAAUAUUGGUCAAUGGUCGGGAGACUGAACCAGCCAAGCCGCGUGAGGGAUGAAGGUACAGAGUAUUGUAAACCUCUUUUGUCAGGGAACAAAGGCGGGGACGUGUCCCCGGAUGAGUGUACCUGAAGAAAAAGCAUCGGCUAACUCCGUGCCAGCAGCCGCGGUAAUACGGAGGAUGCGAGCGUUAUCCGGAUUUAUUGGGUUUAAAGGGUGCGCAGGCGGAGGCACAAGUCAGCGGUAAAAUCGCGGGUCUCAACCCCGCUCCGCCGUUGAAACUGUGUCC